rnacentral:ncRNA from 18 species
GGGAAGCCGGUGGGAAUCCGGCACUGACCUGCAACCGUGAGCGGCGCCCGGGGGCGCCGUGAGUCGGAUC